CCUUUCCCACGGGUAACACUUCACACACGACAAACUCUCUCUUGCGCUUGGUUCUCUCUGCCCCCCAAUUACACUGAAACGAGUCUCCCGAUUCAGACGGGAGAUAAGUAUCUGAAGUCUGAUGGCAGACCCCGCCUGAGUCUGGUAUGCUUGGUACCUUGCCAUGGAGGCACCGUUUGACUUCACUGUUAUAGGUAGGCAUUAGAUUAAAUGAAAAAAGAGCUGACGAUUGAAACGAUACGUUUAAAAUAAGAAUUGGAUUUUUGACAUAUGUAAGGUUACAACAUAAAAGAAAUCAUACUUGUAUACAUAUUUUAUCAUUGUCAAUUCUUGGAAUAUCCCCUUACUUUAGAAAGACAUGCCUGUCCUCAGAAAAUGGUGGUGCACAGUACUGCUUGAGAACUUCCACCUGGAUGGGCCCGGCAGAAGGUUCCCACACUUCAUGGAGGAGGCCAAACAAAUGGCGGCUGAACUACUUCCACCAGUCUUCAGACUGAAGCGAAAAAGAGAAGUGAAUGACGUUUCCAGUGACAGAAUACAAAUAUUAUAUUGUAUAGGCUUAAUAUUGAUUUGACUGUUUGAUUCUUUUGACAGUGAGUUGGAGCUGAUGGCAGUCAGCAUGAAGAAGCUAUAUCUUUAAGCUUCUGUAGAUUAUUUGUUAAAUAAAUUGUGAGGAAAC
ensembl:lncRNA